AUUGACCGCUGGCGGCAGGCCUAACACAUGCAAGUCGAACGAGUGGCGGACGGGUGGGUAAUGUCUGGGAAACGGCCUGAGAGAAGGGGAUAACUACUGGAAACGGUAGCUCAUACCGCAUACCAUCAGAUUUGCCAAGAUGGGAUUAGCUUGUUGGUGGGGUACCGGCUCACCAAGGCGACGAACCCUAGCUGGUCUUAGAGGAUUACAAGCGACACUGGAACUGAGAAACGGUCCCGACUCCUACGGGAGGCAGGAGUGGGGAAUAUUGCACAAUGGGCGCAAGCCGGAUGCAGCAAUGCCGCGUGGAUGAAGAAGGCCUUCGGGUUGUAAAGGACUUUCAGCGGGGAGGCGUUACCCGCAGAAGAAGCACAGGCUAACCCCGUGCCAGCAGCCGCGGUAAUAC
rnacentral:rRNA from 1 species